ACACGACUACAUUAGAUACCCGGGUAGUCCAGGGUGUAAACGCUGCGGGCUUGGUGUUGGGGGGUCCUUUGAGGGCGCCCAGUGCCGGAGAGAAGUUGUUAAGCCUGCUGCUUGGGGAGUACGUCCGCAAGGAUGAAACUUAAAGGAAUUGGCGGGGGAGCACCGCAACGGGAGGAGCGUGCGGUUCAAUUGGAUUCAACGCCGGACAACUCACCAGGAGCGACGGUUACAUGAAGGCCAGGCUGAUGACCUUGCCUGAUUUUCCG
rnacentral:rRNA from 1 species